rnacentral:tRNA from 1 species
GCCUGGGUGGCUCAGUUAGUUAAGUGUCCGACUUCCGCUCAGGUCAUGAUCUCACAGCUCAGCUCGUGGGUUCGAGCCCCACAUCAGGCU